AUUAAAAUAGUUUAAAUAAAACACCAGUCUGUGGAUCUGGAGAUAUGAGAAAUUAUCAUUUUUAAUC
rnacentral:tRNA from 1 species